UUCUUUACGGAGAGUUUGAUUCUGGCUCAGAACGAACGCUGGCGGCGUGGAUAAGACAUGCAAGUCGAGCGGGGUAUUAUUUGUAGCAAUACAGGUAAUGCUCAGCGGCGCAAGGGUGCGUAACACGUGGGCAACCUGCCCGGAAAUGGGGGAUAGCUCGUCGAAAGGCGAAUUAAUACCGCAUGUGGCGAAGGGUGACAUCACCUUGAAGCCAAAGCUGGGGCAACCUAGCGUUUCCGGAUGGGCCCGCGGCCUAUCAGCUAGUUGGAGAGGUAACGGCUCCCCAAGGCUAUGACGGGUAGCUGGUCUGAGAGGACGACCAGCCACACUGGAACUGAGACACGGUCCAGACACCUACGGGUGGCAGCAGUCGAGAAUUUUUCUCAAUGGGGGAAACCCUGAAGGAGCGA
rnacentral:rRNA from 1 species